AAGACUGUACUUUCAGGGAUCAUUUCUUUAGUUUGGAACUAGAGGAUUGUGUUUCUACAGAGGUUGGUCUUGCUGUCCAUGAUGAUGAAUGAAGAUGUUUCCUUCAGAGCAGGAAGCUGGUGAGAAGAUGAGAAUCUUCUUCACUGAUGAAGACUGUUCAGUGUUUCUGGAUGUGACACUGAAGGAGGAAAUAUUGUCUGAGUAGA
rnacentral:snoRNA from 1 species